UUCAGCUGCGCGAUAGCUCGUAAGCAAACCACACUGGCAGCCAGUACUCGUCUUUGUCUUCGUCUGGACCGCGUAGCCAGUGAGGUAGCUGUACGAAAAGACAUGUCGUCUUAACGCCAAUUAAUCCGUAUAAUGCGCGUAACCCAUUAUUUUAUCAGGUCAUAGUUCGUGACCCCGUUCCGCCAGCGUGCUGGGAGUUUUUUCUUCUUCCUCCUCCAGCGCCCUUCUCCUUCCUAGCGCACAGAGCGGCGCGAGCCAGACAGCGGUGACGUCAGCCUGUCUGCACCUGAAGGACCGCCUUUGAUUGGCCAAUUUUUUUAAAAUUUUAUUUCUUCUUUUGUAUUCAUACAAUGCAAUGUAUUGAAAUGGCUGUAUCUGGUCAGGAAAGUGAAAAGAACCAGCAGCUUAGGAAAGAGAUGCACGGCUAGUGAUCAUGAAACUGAACUUGAUGACUUGGAUGAGUCUUUAAAUAUUUGUUUUUAAAAUGCUGUUUUUAUACGCUAGUUUUAUAUUUGCAAUAUUUAAAAUACUUUCUCAAGAACCAAUGCUUGUUAAGUAUCAAGUAUUUUCACACACUCCCUUAAAAUGCCACUGAUAUUUCAAAAACUGCAUGUAGGAGUGAUAAAAACGCUUGUGUAUAAUUCCUUAGAUAAAUUUUAGGGAAUACAUUUAUCAGUUUACUUGACUUAAGACUUGAUCUUUAUUCGAGUAAAAGCUAGCUGAUUAUGUUUGGACAAUAGAAAUGGAAUAGAUGUCCACUUUUGUGCCAUUUUGGAAUAAAAUUUGAAGUGGAGAGUCACUUAUAUUCGAAUACAAUGCUUGAGUUAUGCAAAUGUACAUGGAAGUAAAGUUCUGAACACCAUGGGUGCAUAUUUUAAUUAAAAGACUGAUCAGCAUUA